CUGGAUGUGAAGGGGAGACUUCAGGAUAAAGGAAGACAUGAUACUGGAUCUAAUGAUGAGGACGACAGAAACAUAACAGACAAUUAGUAAGAUUUAUUUUCAAUUCUUAAUUUCUUAAAAUUUUAUAUUUUUACUUUUUAUUUAUUGAGACAAUUCACAUCUAUUUUUUUCUCUCUCCCUUAUUGUAUUCUAGAGGUCAGGCCUAGCCCCCCUCCAUCUUUUGUAUAAUUUUGAUUUAUAUUAAUAAACUAGUAGGAGUC
rnacentral:lncRNA from 1 species